rnacentral:rRNA from 1 species
CCUACGGGAUGCAGCAGUGAGGAAUCUUGGUCAAUGGACGAGAGUCUGAACCAGCCAAGUAGCGUGAAGGAUGAAUGCCCUAUGGGUUGUAAACUUCUUUUAUAAAGGAAUAAAACGAGGCACGUGUGCCUUUUUGCAUGUACUUUAUGAAUAAGGAUCGGCUAACUCCGUGCCAGCAGCCGCGGUAAUACGGAGGAUCCGAGCGUUAUCCGGAUUUAUUGGGUUUAAAGGGAGCGUAGAUGGGGUGUUAAGUCAGUUGUGAAAGUUUGCGGCUCAACCGUAAAAUUGCAAUUGAUACUGGCAGUCGUGAGUACAGUGGAGGUAGGCGGAAUUCGUGGUGUAGAGGUGAAAUGCUUAGAUAUCACGAAGAACCCCGAUUGCGAAGGCAGCUUACUAAACUGUGACUGACAUUGAUGCUCGAAAGUGUGGGUAUCAAACAGGAUUAGAUACCCCUGUAGUC